rnacentral:rRNA from 1 species
CCUACGGGUGGCAGCAGUGGGGAAUAUUGGACAAUGGGGGGAACCCUGAUCCAGCCAUGCCGCGUGUGUGAAGAAGGCCCUCGGGUUGUAAAGCACUUUCAGUGAGGAAGAACGCCUGGUGGUUAAUACCCAUCAGGAAAGACAUCACUCACAGAAGAAGCACCGGCUAACUCCGUGCCAGCAGCCGCGGUAAUACGGAGGGUGCGAGCGUUAAUCGGAAUUACUGGGCGUAAAGCGCGCGUAGGUGGCUUGAUAAGCCGGUUGUGAAAGCCCCGGGCUCAACCUGGGAACGGCAUCCGGAACUGUCAAGCUAGAGUGCAGGAGAGGAAGGUAGAAUUCCCGGUGUAGCGGUGAAAUGCGUAGAGAUCGGGCGGAAUACCAGUGGCGAAGGCGGCCUUCUGGACUGACACUGCCACUGAGGUGCGAAAGCGUGGGUAGCAAACAGGAUUAGAUACCCGUGUAGUC